ACGCCUAACACAUGCAAGUCGAACGAAGUAGCAAUACUUAGUGGCAGACGGGUGAGUAACAUGUAGGUAUCUACCCUUUGGCCUGGAAUAACACGAGGAAACUUGUGCUAAUACCGGAUAAGUCUUUACGGAGAAAGCUUUAUGCACCAUUGGAUGAGCCUGCACUUGAUUAGUUUGUUGGUGGGGUAAUGGCCUACCAAGACUGUGAUCAAUAGCUGAUUUGAGAGGAUGAUCAGCCACAUUGGGACUGAGACACGGCCCAAACUCCUACGGGAGGCAGCAGUGGGGAAUCUUGCACAAUGGAGGAAACUCUGAUGCAGCGAUGCCGCGUGAGUGAAGAAGGCCCUUGGGUUGUAAAGCUCUUUCGUCGGGGAAGAAAAUGACUGUACCCGAAUAAGAAGGUCCGGCUAACUUCGUGCCAGCAGCCGCGGUAAUACGAAGGGACCUAGCGUAGUUCGGAAUUACUGGGCUUAAAGAGUUCGUAGGUGGUUGAAAAAGUUGGUGGUGAAAUCCCAGAGCUUAACUCUGGAACUGCCAUCAAAACUUUUCAGCUAGAGUUUGAUAGAGGAAAGCAGAAUUUCUAGUGUAGAGGUGAAAUUCGUAGAUAUUAGAAAGAAUACCAAUUGCGAAGGCAGCUUUCUGGAUCAUUACUGACACUGAGGAACGAAAGCAUGGGUAGCGAAGAGGAUUAGAUACCCUCGUAGUCCAUGCCGUAAACGAUGUGUGUUAGACGUUGGAAAUUUAUUUUCAGUGUCGCAGCGAAAGCGAUAAACACACCGCCUGGGGAGUACGACC
rnacentral:rRNA from 1 species